GUAGUAUGGUCACAUCGCCACGUGCAUUCUUCCACUUCUUUUUUUCGUUCAAAAUGGACGGUCGCGUUUUCUGCGUAAAUUCUCAGCUAAAAUUUAACAAAAGGGAUGUUGUGCGGUAUUAGGAAAUGGAACUACAAAUAAUUAUGGAAAAAAACAGUUUUCAUGGCUUUCUGCCAAAUUUCUCCACACGUGUCUCAAAAGUAAGAUGGUCUAUUUGAAAGUGGAUUGAAAGAGAUUUCUCAUGUGACAAAGAUAGGCGGAAAAAUAAUGAGUGGGAAUAAGUGCUUUAUAAAUUCCUCGGGACGCGGAUCAGUAAUGUCUGAAUCCUCUUUUCGACAGAUUAAUUAAUUCCGGAGAAAUAAAAAUGUUCAGAAUUAAAUGCAGAGGUCUUGGCCGGACUGCUUGAGAAUAAUGAGAAAAUAAGAAAAUGGUUGACACAAAUCAUAACUGUUCUCCAAUAAACAAAAUAUGCAAUCCACUGAUACAUCUGGAUCUCUUUCUCAGAACAAUGGAACACAGAAAUGCGGUCAAAUUCGGAAAUAUGAGAAAUAUUUUUUGAAGUUCACUCGUUGUUUUGCGAUUGGCAUCUGAGUUUUGGACUUCUUAGUUAAACGGCAACGCAGGAAGAAAAUCGUAGAUAUUGAAUGAAUAAAAUCUAAAAAUGGUAUCUGCACACUAUAUAAAUCGAGCUGCGAAGGAAUUUUGCUGAUUAAUAAAGAUUCGCUGAUGAUACAAACAUAUUACAAAAUAAUACCCGAUUGAGGAUGGCUUAAAAUCUAAAGGUCUUCAUAAUAUGCAGUACCCAAGAUGGUUUGGAUUAUAAUAUGUAUUUCCAAGGUUUUCAUAAUAUGCAGUACCCAAGAUGGUGUGGAUUAUAAUAUGUAUUUCCAAGAUGUCUGAAGAUCAGGGAAAAAAGCUGUUUACCCUGCAAUAUUACUAAGGCUUGAACUAAAGCGGUCUUUUUGAUUUGUUGAAUCCUCAUGAACGCAGUAAUAUUAAGUAAUACCUGACAUCUGGCUUUGUGAUUCAGCUGAACUUUUGUGGUAUAUUGCGAAGAUCGAACAAAGCCAUUUCACUCCAAACUAAACUAGACUCUGCUGUAGCCAUUUGAACAAAUAAAAACUCAAAAGAUACUGUUUAAUAUAACGUGA